UACGUAGGGGGCAAGCGUUGUCCGGAAUCAUUGGGCGUAAAGAGCGCGUAGGCGGCCCUGUAAGUCCGCUGUGAAAGUCAAGGGCUCAACCCUUGGAUGCCGGUGGAUACUGCAGGGCUAGAGUCCGGAAGAGGCGAGUGGAAUUCCCAGUGUAGCGGUGAAAUGCGUAGAUAUUGGGAGGAACACCGGUGGCGAAGGCGGCCCCCUGGACCGGUACUGACGCUGAGGCGCGAAAGCGUGGGUAGCAAACGGG
rnacentral:rRNA from 1 species